rnacentral:lncRNA from 1 species
CCUCAUCCUCUCCUCCCCUAGGACCAAUUUGGGAAGGGUCAUGCGCUGUGAUCCUGUCAACACCAUCAGCUGUCAAGGCAGCAGGCCCGGACCCCUGGAUUCACCACACCUGACACAAGCCCUGGGAGGCAGAAACUACCGCUGGGUGUGAGAAGCCAUCCAAAUACUCCUGUGAACCCACAGAAGACUUAAAAUUCUUAGAAAACAAAGUCUUCAGAUAAGUAAUCUAAGACAUUACUCUUAACUCUUUUACUAAUUACCUUACCACUUAAAGGCGAGUGCAAUUCCUUUCUAGUGAGGGCACAGGAAUAUGUAGAGUCACUAUAACAAACAUGUUCCUGGAUAUGCGGCCUGCUCCCCUUGUCACGUAUACGACACUUCCUUGGUGGGUAUCCUCACUUCAAGGAGAUGAUUGGAGUAAGCUGCAAGACUACAGUGACGAGACACGAAAACGUUCAGUGGUUCAUAGCUCAGCCCACUGUUGCAAGGAUCUCGCCGUGUGAAUCACUCCCCAGCGAACCUCUUCUAGGCCUGCAGCCCAGCCAACACCUGAAUUUCAGCCUGAUUGGACCUUAAACAAGGACACAGGUAAGCUUUAUCUGAAUUUGGGCCUACAAAAGCCAUGAG